CCCUUAGAUGUCCUGGGCCGCACGCGCGUUACACUGAUGCAUUCAACGAGCUUAUAACCUUGGCCGAGAGGCCUGGGCAAUCUUGUUAACGUGCAUCGUGAUAGGGAUAGAUUAUUGAAAUUAUUAAUCUUGAACGAGGAAUUCCUAGUAAACGCAGAUCAUCAAUCUGCAUUGAUUACGUCCCUGCCCUUUGUACACACCGCCCGUCGCACCUACCGAUUGGAUGGUCCGGUGAAGCCUCGGGAUUGUGGUUCUUGCCGCUUUAUUGUGGCGUGACCGCGAGAAGUUGUCUAAACCUUAUCAUCUAGAGGAAGGUGAAGUCGUAACA
rnacentral:rRNA from 1 species